AAAGUUUUAUUUUAGUUAAAAUAUUUAUUAGUUUUAUAUUUUACAUGUAAAUUUUUGUAGGGAUUAUAUUUAUUCUUAAUGAAUUUAUGUUAUAUUUUAAUCACAGUAUUUUAUUUUAUAAAUUAAGGAAAUUUAGAUAUAUUAAUAAAAUUUAGUAUAGGUUAAUUUUGUGCCAGCAAUCGCGGUUAUACAAAAUAUAUAAAUAAAUAUUAUUAUUUUAUAGUUAAAUGUUCUUUGUAAAUAAAUUAUUUAUUUUAAAGGUGAAAUUUAUAUAAAUAAUAUAAAUUUAGAAAAAAUUUAUUUUGAAGCUAUUAAAUUUUAAUAAUAAACUAGGAUUAGAUACCCUAUUAUUUAAUAAGUAAAAUAUAUAUAAAAAAAUAAGGUAGUAAUAGUUAUAGGCUUGAAACUUAAAAAAUUUGGCGGUAUUUUAGUCUUUUUAGAGGAACCUGUUCCAUUAUUGAUAAUCCACGAUGAAUUUUACAUAAUUUUACUUAAUUUGUAUAUCGUCGUUAUAAGAAAAUUUUAUAAGGAUAUAAAUUUUCUAAAAUUUACAAUAGAAUUUACUUCAGAUCAAGGUGCAAUAUAUAAUUAUGAGGAAAUGGGUUACAAUAAAUUUAUUUAUUAUGAAUAAUAGCUUGAAAAUUAGUUGUUUGAAAGUGGAUUUAAAAGUAAUUUAAAUUAUAUAGUUUAUAUGAUUUUGGCUCUAAAAUAUGUACAUAUCGCCCGUCACUCUCUUUAUUUUAAGUUAAAAAGAGAUAAGUCGUAACAAAGUAAGUGUACUGGAAAGUGUACUUAGAAUGAUU
rnacentral:ncRNA from 1 species